GACGGAGGAUGCAAGUGUUAUCCGGAAUCACUGGGCGUAAAGCGUCUGUAGGUGGUCAAAUAAGUCAACUGUUAAAUCUUGAGGCUCAACCUCAAAAUCGCAGUCGAAACUAUUAGACUAGAGUAUAGUAGGGGUAAAGGGAAUUUCCAGUGGAGCGGUGAAAUGCGUAGAGAUUGGAAAGAACACCGAUGGCGAAGGCACUUUACUGGGCUAUUACUAACACUCAGAGACGAAAGCUAGGGGAGCAAAUGGG
rnacentral:rRNA from 1 species